GACUCCCGUUUACAAAUAAGGAAAUGUUUAUGUUGGGAAAAGGAUGUGAUCUUUGGAGAUUAUAUAUUGAAAACUUUGUAACAGAAGGUGGCCACACCUCGGGUGAAGACUUUCUCGUCUUUAUGUUCUGUUUUUUUUUUUUUCUGUAUCUUGUUAUUAAACCGAAACCAUUGUAUUUGGUGAUUCGUAAUCCUCUCUAUAACAAGUCUCAGAGUGAAUUACUUUUACAUAAACUAUUAUCAAUACCUGCAAUUAAAUUACUUCCAUCGAGCUUCAAGAGCAUCGGAUCCUGACUGAGCCGGUGUGGACUCCUUUAAAUCUCUAAUUGUCAUGCAACGCUCUCAAUCCAAUUAAUCAGAAGUGGUGCCUUCUGAUAGCAAAGCUCAAAAGGAGAAGUUCAGAGCAGUGCAACCCAACUGAAGAAACAACUUCUAACAAUCUCACAUUUAACUCCAGCAGACUGAAUAUCUGACUAUGGCAAUAUGAACAUUCAAUAUGGAGAAGAGAUGAAUAUCUAUAUUAAUGUGGAUCCUAUAAACAGUUCUGAUGUCAGGACAGAAACCAAGAACUCUGACACCAGGAGACACCAGACACCUCAAUACACAGGAAGUGAUACUGUGAGGAACAGAAGCUCCAGGGCAUCUUCAGUGUGUUUGGUGCUGCUGUGUGUCCUUCUGCUGACUGCAGUCACAGUGCUGCGUGUCUACAAUCACAUCAAUUCAAAGAGCACAAACUACUCUGAAGAGACACAUCAGCUACUAAUCAAGAUCACCAACCUCACAGAAGAGAGAGAUGAGCUACUAACCAAGAAUACCAAUGAGAAAGACCAGCUACAAAUCAAGAUGACCAACCUCACAGAAAAGAUAGAUGAGCUACUAACCAAGAAUACUGACCUCACAAAAGAGAGAGAACAGCUACAAACCAGGAAUACCAACCUUAGAAAUGAGAAAGACCAGCUACAAAUCAAGAUGACCAGCCUCACUGAAAAGAUAGAUGAGCUACUAGCCAAGAACAUGCAAUUGGCAAAAGAGAGAGAUGGAUUAUCAUCAACUAACCUUGACCUGAUUAAAUACAGAGACCAGUUAAAUAAGGAGAAAAAUGAACUGUCAAAAAGUCUUCAAAAAAUGGAUUAAUGGAUUUACUAUAAAUUCAGUCUUUACUUCCUUUCCACUGAGGAGAAGAGCUGGACUGAGAGCAGAAGAUACUGCACAGAGAGAGGAGCAGAUCUGAUCAUCAUAAACAACAGAGAAGAACAAAGUUUUGUUAAGAAAAUAUCUGCUGAUGUUAAAGUCUGGAUUGGUCUGACUGACAGAGAUGUGGAGGGCAGAUGGAAAUGGGUUGAUUCCAGCACACCGACCGCUGGGUGAGAAAUCACUGAGUUGAACUGAUUAUUGUAUGAUAAAUUAUUAUCAACAAGUAAAUGCUGAUCUUUAACUUCAGGUUCUGGGCAUCUGGAGAGCCCAAUAGUUACGAUGGUAUCGAUGAAGAUUGUGCUGUAAGAUAUGGGCCAGGAUGGGCUGAUUUUCCAUGUAAUCAUGCUAUGCAAUGGAUCUGUGAGAAGGUCAUUUUAAAAUAAGUCA